GCCCUCGCGGAGCAGCGGAGUGCUCGCCGCCCUGUCACGGCGGAGGCCGCGGGUUCGAGUCCCGCCGGGGGCG
rnacentral:tRNA from 1 species